AAGUUACCAGCGAUUGGACCCUCCAAAUUAUACUUUUCCGCAAAUUUCUUUAUGGAGAACCUCUUCCGCUGACUUCCGUCCCUGUAAUCAGAUUGCAUUAAUGUAAACCGCAACUUGAUAAUUAAGAUGCCGGUAAAGUCUGUGCGUGUCGUCAAAUAGCGGCGGUGGAAAGAGAAAACUGGUUACCGAGACGGUGAAAGUUGAACUCGUCGAGGAUAGCGCGUCUUUAUGCGCACCCAACUACCUCACGAUUUGCAUAGCGAAACCAUUACCGUGAGAAAACAAAGCAAUCUUAUUUCGAGCUACUUUUUAUAAAUAUGUUCUUGCAAAAAUGUAAACAUUUUUAGAAAUGUUUACAUUUCAUUAAUUCGAGUGGUUCAAGGCUUACCCGUCAUAACAAGUGUAUAUAAAACUCCACCCUCGUGUUUGUAAUGUAUUUCAGGAAUCUCGUGAGCUUCGGUUGGCGUCAGCUCCGUUCCCAAAUCGAUUACUUUAUCACCAUAUUUUACCUACGCAUAUAUCUUUUAUAUAAACAGUGCCACAAAGCAUAUUACACAGUAUAACAGAAGGACUUAUAUUGGUAUAUAAAUAUUGAUGAGUUUGUAUGCAUAUUUAUAAGAAAAUUUUGCAGAUAAUUAAGUUUCUUUCUUAGAAUAAACGUUACAUAUCAAGCUUA